GCCCGCCUCAAGAAACUACGAAAGGAAAGUUGACGGGGGCCCGGCACAAGCGGUGGAGCAUGUGGUUUAAUUUCGAUGAUACGCGAGGAACCUUACCUGGGCUCAAAUGUAUGUUGACGUAUUCUGAAAGGGAUACUUCUUCGGACAAUAUACAAGGUGCUGCAUGGUUGUCGUCAGCUCGUGCCGUGAGGUGUCGGGUUAAGUCCCAUAACGAGCGCAACCCCUAUCAUUAGUUGCCAUCAGGUCAAGCUGGGGACUCUAAUGAAACUGCCUACGCAAGUAGUGAGGAAGGUGGGGAUGACGUCAAAUCAGCACGGCCCUUACGUCCAGGGCUACACACGUGCUACAAUGGCCGGUACAAAGGGCAGCUACCUGGUGACAGGAUGCUAAUCUCAAAAGCCGGUCUCAGUUCGGAUCGGAGUCUGCAACCCGACUCCGUGAAGUCGGAGUCGCUAGUAAUCGCAGAUCAGCAACGCUGCGGUGAAUACGUUCCCGGGCCUU
rnacentral:rRNA from 1 species